rnacentral:rRNA from 1 species
GGAUUAGUGCGCCGGUCGUGCCUUCGGUAUGUACUGGUGUUACUGGUUCCUACCUUCUGACGAACCGUCAUGUCAUUAAUUUGGUGUGGCGGGGAAUCAGGACUGUUACUUUGAAAAAAUUAGAGUGUUCAAAGCAGGCAUACGCUCGAAUACAUUAGCAUGGAAUAAUGGAAUAGGACG